rnacentral:lncRNA from 1 species
CACAUAAUCUUCUCUGAGCUCUUCAUCCCUUCCAUCAUCUCCCUCCAUCAUCCCGUCAUCUCCUUGUGUCUGUCACCACGGUUACACCAUCACCUUCUCCAUUCCCUCAUCAUCCCAUCAUCUCCAUCCCUUCCAUCAUCUCCUUGUGUCUGUCACCACGGUUACACCUUCACCUUCUCCAUUCCCUCAUCCUUCUAUCAUCUCCAUCCUUUCCAUCAUCUCCAUGUGUCACCUUCACCUUCUCCAUUCCCUCAUCCUCCCAUCAUCUCCUUGUGUCACCGUCACCUCGGUUACACCAUCACCUUCUCCAUUCCCUCAUCCUUCCAUCAUCUCCAUCCCUCCCUUCAUCUCCUUGUGUCUGUCACCUCGGUUACAGCUUCACCUUCUCCAUUCCCUCAUCCUCCCAUCAUCUCCCUCCAUCCUCCCAUCAUCUCCAUGUGUCACCUUCACCUUCUCCAUUCCCUCAUCCUCCUGUCAUCUCCUUGUGUCUGUCACCUCGGUUACACCGUCACCUUCUCCAUUCCUUCAUCCUUCCAUCAUCUCCAUCCCUCCCUUCAUCUCCUUGUGUCUGUCACCUGGGUUACACCGUCACCUUCUCCAUUCCCUCAUCCUCCCUGAACUCUUCAUCCCUCCAUUCUUUCCAUCAUCUCCUUACAUCUGUCACCUCGGUCACACCUUCACCUUCUCCAUUCCCUCAUCCUCCCAUCAUCUCCCUCCAUCCUCUCAUCAUCUCCAUGUGUCACCUUCACCUUCUCCAUUCUCUCAUCCUCCCAUCAUCUCCAUGUGUCACCUUCACCUUCUCCAUUCCCUCAUCCUCCCAUCAUCUCCUUACAUCUGUCACCUCGGUUACAUCGUCACCUUCUCCAUUCCCUCAUCCUCCCAUCAUCUCCAUGUGUCACCUUCACCUUCUCCAUUCCCUCAUCCUCCCAUCAUCUCCUUAAAUCUGUCACCUCGGUUACACCGUCACCUUCUCCAUUCCCUCAUCCUUCCAUCAUCUCCAUGUGUCACCUUCACCUUCUCCAUUCCCUCAUCCUCCCUGAACUCUUCAUCCCUCCAUCCCUUCCAUCAUCUCCAUCCAUCCCUCCCAUCAUCUUCUUGUGUCAUCUUCACCUUCUCCAUUCCCUCAUCCUCCCAUUGUCUCCAUCCCACCUCUGUCCCUCCACCCCCUCCCUCCCACCUCAAGGCUGCACCACCACACCGAAAU